GUUAGACAGUGUCAGUGUUGGUGAAACUCAGCAGCUCUAGUUUGUGUUGAGGGGAACAUAAGCCAUUUCAGGAGUAAAAACACAGGUUUGAUUUAACACAGCGAUGUUGGAGUGAAGUAAACGUGUGUCCUGCUGUAAUCUGGAGAAGGAGACAUGACCUCCAACAUGAGUGUGUCUGGAAAACAGGACUUUAAGAAAGAGAGAAUGAUGGAGGGAAAGAGAUCAGACUCACCAGAACCCAGCUGUGUGUCCAUGAAGAGUGACUGGUCAAUGGAACUUCCAAUUAACUACAGAGACAGAGACAGUUCUACUGAUGUGAGGUCAGUAUAGUGAGGUGUUUUACAGCAGUGUUCCACCUGAUCAAACUCACUCGCCUCAUUAUGAAGCCCUUCAUGAGCUUUAUCAGGUGUUGAAGCAGUAAAACACUAAACUGUACAGUGUUGCAGC